AUUGAACGCUGGCGGCAGGCCUCACACAUGCAAGUCGAACGAGUGGCGGACGGGUGAGUAAUGUAUCGGAACCUGCCUGAUGGAGGGGGAUAACUACUGGAAACAGUAGCUAAUACCGCAUACCAUCAGAUCGGCCGAGAUCGGAUUAGCUUGUUGGUGGGGUAACGGCUCACCAAGGCGACGAUCCGUAGCUGGUCUGAGAGGAGGACCAGCCAAACUGGAACUGAGACACGGUCCAGACGCCUACGGGAGGCAGCAGUGGGGAAUAUUGGACAAUGGGCGAAAGCCUGAUGCAGCCAUGCCGCGUGUAUGAAGAAGGCCUUCGGGUUGUAAAGUACUUUCAGCGGGGAGGCGUUACCCGCAGAAGAAGCACCGGCUAACUCCGUGCCAGCCGCCGCGGUAAUUC
rnacentral:rRNA from 1 species